ACUAAAAUAGUUUAAAAAAAAACAAAGGUUUUGUAAACCUUAAUUGAUCAAUCUUUUAGUA
rnacentral:tRNA from 1 species